GAUGAACGCUGGCGGCGUGCCUAAUACAUGCAAGUCGAGCGAACAGAUAAGGAGCUUGCUCCUUUGACGUUAGCGGCGGACGGGUGAGUAACACGUGGGUAACCUACCUAUAAGACUGGGAUAACUUCGGGAAACCGGAGCUAAUACCGGAUAACAUUUGGAACCGCAUGGUUCUAAAGUGAAAGAUGGUUUUGCUAUCACUUAUAGAUGGGCCCGCGCCGUAUUAGCUAGUUGGUAAGGUAACGGCUUACCAAGGCGACGAUACGUAGCCGACCUGAGAGGGUGCUCGGCCACACUGGAACUGAGACACGGUCCAGACUCCUACGGGAGGCAGCAGUAGGGAAUCUUCCGCAAUGGGCGAAAGCCUGACGGAGCAACGCCGCGUGAGUGAUGAAGGGUUUCGGGUCGUAAAACUCUGUUAUUAGGGAAGAACAAACGUGUAAGUAACUGUGCACGUCUUGACGGUACCUAAUCAGAAAGCCACGGCUAACUACGUGCCAGCCGCCGCCGUAA
rnacentral:rRNA from 1 species